UAAAGAAAAAGUGUGGGAUUUCAAGGAAUCAAGCAAUCAAAGGUGGUGAGCCCUCUAACAAGGGUAGAGAGAUUAUGCCCGAAGAUCGGGAAUAGGAGUAUAUCGAACUCCUAGUAUUGCUCAGAGUAAACUGUAGAUAGCUGAUUCCAUCGAGGGCUUCUAUUGGAUUAGCGUCCUCCACACAGUAGGUUCACAGUUUCUUUAAUUCUGGUUAAUGUGGGCCCACUUGAUAUUGCAAAUGUAAUAGUUUAUUGUACUACAGUAUGAAUGAAUUUAUUUUAUUUUUACGUUACAAAAAGUAUUUA